rnacentral:rRNA from 1 species
UACAGAGGGGGCAAGCGUUGUUCGGAAUUACUGGGCGUAAAGGGCGCGUAGGCGGCCUUCUAAGUCGAACGUGAAAUCUCCGGGCUCAACCCGGGAACUGCGUCCGAUACUGGAAGGCUUGAAUCCGGGAGAGGGAUGCGGAAUUCCAGGUGUAGCGGUGAAAUGCGUAGAUAUCUGGAGGAACACCGGUGGCGAAGGCGGCAUCCUGGACCGGCAUUGACGCUGAGGCGCGAAAGCCAGGGGAGCAAACGGG